GCUUCAGAUUAGCAAGAAGCCCUGCAGUUACUGGAGCGUAGCGAAGGGUUUUGAGCAGGGGAUCAGCACCUGCUUUUCAGCUUUCAUUGGAGUUUCUCUUCAGCCAUCAGAAGAGUAAAGGAAAACCAGAAACUGCCAUCAGAAUGAGCAGCAUGAUUAUACAUCAGUAACAAGCAAAUUGCUUGUCAAAAAGGGGACCCUUCACUUAAUGCUGCUCCUUUGAAAUAAAAGUAUCUCCAACAGCUCUGAAGUUCAAGGAUAUGUUCUCAGUUGGUGUGAGCUUCGUGACCAUGGUAUAUAUCACAUGAAAAGAUGAGCGUUUGUCUCCUCUUCAGCUUAGUUCACUUCUUUACAAUGAUAAGAUGAAGCAAAGUCAAGAUCAGCUGCAAGAAAGACUUGGAAGAGUAAAAAGCACCGAGCAGACCAGGAGCUAAGGACUUUUAUGAUUGAUAGACCAAACGUACCACCAUCUGAAGGGUAUAGCUCAGUAGCCAUUUUCAGAGCAUGACUACAGGAAAAGACCCUGAACUGCUGCAACUGUUCAUCUCAGAUUAUGUGAUAGGAAGAAGAAAAAGAAGAGGAAGAAAGAUAGGAAGAAGAAAAAACAUCAAAACAACAAAUAAAACCUACCCUAGCUUUCCUCAUAUUGACCAAAUUAGGAUUCUUUUUCUGUGUCACGUAACAUUUAUCUUUUUAUAGAGCAGUGACAAUUAUAUGGCUUUUCCUUUGUCUCGUCUUGGCUAUACUGCGGUGAUUUGCAACAAAACUGAUGUUUAUAUAUUCAUUUUCACUCCAAGAGCAGGCUGCUGCUGUGUCUGAAAGAAACGUUUAAACUUCUCGUUUGUCAUUUUUCUAUUGUUUUUGGUUGGAUUUUUUUAUUUUUUUAUUUUUUGCUUUUUGGUGUUUUUUUUCCUAUGUCUCUUUUGUUGUUGUCUGUCAUAUUGGCUCCCUACUUCAGUAUUUAUUAUUCUUUACACUUUUUUUUUUCCCUACAGCACAGCAUUUCAUCUCAGAUGACUGUUUGACCACAGUGUUUCUCUGUAAAAGACGCAUGUAGCAGUUUUGAAAAGUCUACUUAGGUCUUACCACCUAUUUUAUCAGCUAAAAUGCUGAAGGUUAUGCUUAGAUUUCAUAUAUAUAUAUAUAUAUCCACUCAAUAUGUCUUCCUUUAUUUUUAGUGAUAGAAUUAAAUGUAAUAAAAAGGUAAUACUGAGAUGAUUUGUUGAACCAAGUGUUCAAAGUGCCUAUGGCCAAAAUACUAAAUCAUCACCUCCUUUGGUUAAGGGAAGUAACAUAUAUGACAAACUGAAAAGUCAGAUCAUUUGGAAGUAAAAAAGUACCUAAAUUUUUGCUGAAAUGUAUAAGAUACAGAUAUUACUUAAAAUGUUUAUGUGUGCAUACUCUAUACAUACUUUGAUUAUAUAUCUGCAUGUGUGUGUGUAUAUACAUGUAUAUGCUGAAACAUCUUGUCUGUGUGCGUAUGCAUAUGCGUGUGUGUGCAUUCUCAUGCAGGGUGAGCAUAUUUUGGCAAAUUUUGUGACUGUUUGAAAAACAUAGACUGCAGUUCAUGUACAUAAAUCCACCAUCUGAGAUACAUGUUUUAUUUGAUUUUAGCAAAAAGCAGAUUCUGAGCUGCGUGUUCUUUUUCUUAGCAGGAAUUCAUUUUCUAGUAGUUUUCCAGUCUUCAAAACAUGGGAUCCAAUUCAUUUUACACAUAUUUUAAUUUCAGUUCAAAUUGGGAAAAAAAAGUUCAAAAGUAAAGACAUUUUCUGCUGAACUUGAAAUAAAACUUUUGAAGACACAAAUUUCUAGGACAUACAUCAUUACAAGCCUCUUCCUUUUGCUUUCUUUCUUUUUUUUUUUUUUCUUUUUUUUUUUUUUUGAUAAUAGUAUACAAGCACAAGAACAGUAUAUAACCAGAAACCCUUAGGAAAAACAUGUAUUUCUAUUACAAGCAGUUGGACUUUCCUCAUAAGAAACAGUUUGGAAAUAUUGCUCAGCUGCGUUUGAAAUGUAUUGAUGAGAUAAUGUAUGUCAACUGAUUCUGAGGAAUAUAUGCAAGUUACCAAAUGCUUGUUUUGUUACUAGAAAACCUCAUUAGCAAAGGAAUAAAAUAGCUCA
ensembl:lncRNA